rnacentral:lncRNA from 10 species
AUAGAGGAAAAAAAGUAUCAACAGCAACUUAAGCCCACUGGAUGGAUUUAAGGUUCUCCUACAUUCCCAACACGUCUAUCAUAAAGACGCCAAUGAAAGGUUAUAACCCAGAUGGAAACAAGACUCCAAAUGCCAGUAAACCAAAGACAACUUGAGAUCAGGAUCGAGUAGCUGGGACUAUAGGCACAUACCACCACAUCUGGCUAAUUUUUGUAUUUUUUGUAGAGACGGGGUUUUACCAUGCUGCUGCACACUGGUCUUGAACUCCUGGGCUCUAGUGAUCCACCUGCUCAGCUUCCCAAAGUAAUGGGAAUACAGGUAUGCGCCAUCAUGCCCCACCCAUUAAUUUUUAUAUUAUAACCUUUAAUAUUAUUUUCCAUAAGCAUAUUUUAAAUUCUUCUUGUAAUUUUGUGCAUAUUUGUUUUAUAUUUAUUUUCAGUGUUGACUUUCUUUUGUUAUCUGUAUAUAAUUAGUAUUUAAGAUUAG